rnacentral:rRNA from 1 species
UACGUAGGGGGCAAGCGUUGUCCGGAAUCAUUGGGCGUAAAGAGCGUGUAGGCGGCUCGGUAAGUCCGCUGUGAAAGUCCAGGGCUCAACCCUGGAAUGCCGGUGGAAACUGUCGAGCUAGAGUCCGGAAGAGGCGAGUGGAAUUCCUGGUGUAGCGGUGAAAUGCGUAGAUAUCGGAAGGAACAUCAGUGGCGAAAGCGGCUUCCUGGUCCAGCACCGACGUUCAGGCACGAAAGCGUGGGGAGCAAACAGG